GCGGGGCAUGGUGGCACAUGCCUGUAAUCCCAGCAGCUUGGGAGGCUGAGGCAGGAGGAUCACCAGUUCGGGGCCAGCCUCAGCAAUUUAGUGAGGCCCUGAGCAACUUAGUGAGACCCUGUCUCUA
rnacentral:sRNA from 1 species